UGAUUGAUUUCUUUUAUUUCUUCUCUUCUCCUUUCAUUAGGAAGACUAUCAAGCCAAGUUAUUCUUACUUCAUCCGUUGGUACAUUAUUCUUUUUCCGAUAAUAUGUAAAACUAUAUAUUCCGGUGCUCCUAUUUAUCCCCUUAAAAGUGCAGUUUCUUAGAAAAGCACCUUACACGAACUUCGGGAGUCGUCUAAUUUAGGGAAAUGCUGUUUUGAAUCUGAAUAAGUUUCUUAAAGAGGGCAAUUUUUUUAUUGGACAAAAACAAGGUAAAUGUGUUAGUCUCAUUUGUUCUGCAGGUACAUUGCAUGGAUCUUCAUGGCAGCUUUAUAUCAUCUUCCAAGUUUUCAGUCGAUGGGAGUCGACUUGAAAAUGAACCUUUCUCUCUUCAUCACAAUUUCUAUCACCUCCCUUCUUUUUCUUAUUGUUUUCCACAUUAUAUUUCUCGGGCUUUGGUACUUGGGCAUGGUUUCGCGAAUGGCAUAAAAGAGACCAGAGAUACUCACUAUCAUCCAAAACUGCGCAGUCAUAAGUAUAGCAUGCUGUGUAUUUUACAGUCAUUGCGGUAAUCGAGCUAUCACAAGAGAGAAGCACUUUGAUAGAAGAAACUCAAAUUGGUUUUCUUUCCCUUUGUGGAACAAACAAGAUAGAAAUAUAUGGAUAUCCAAGUUCCGUAAAAUGCACGAGUGGAAGGACCAAAUUUGUUCUUCCUGGUUUGCGCCGGUUGGCUCUGCUAGCGACUACCUGCUCUUUUCUAAAUGGGUCAUCUAUGGGGAGUUAGCUUGCAAUGGAUCGUGUCCUCAUCUUUCAGAUGAAAUAUCGCCUUUAUAUUCAUUGUAGGCAACGUUUAUCGGACUCUACAUUACUAAUUAUGUCAUCGAACGAUCAACUGGAUGGGCUCUUACUCAUCCUAUGACAAUAUCAGAGUAUGAGAAGUUGAAGAAACAAAUGAAACCUGAUUUCUUGGACAUGGUACCUUGGUAUUUGAGGACUUCCAUCGACUUAUUCAAGACGGUAUUUGAUCUCAUGGUAUCCGUGACUCUAUUUGUUGGUCGAUUUGACAUGCGAAUGAUGCAGGUAUCUAAUAAAUAUGAACAAAAUAGAAUUUUUACCCUGCAAAAUCAUCUAUAUAUAUACACACACUCAUGUAAAAUCUGAAUUUUCUUAUAUAUCCUUGAAAGAGCAGUUUCUUAUUAAAAAUGAAAAGCCCUUUACAUUGAAUUGGGGAGUCGCCUAAUUUAUGGGGGCAAGUUGGUUUAGUACUGGAAAAGAGUUCUCUAGAAGAGGGGCAUUUUUUUGCAUGUAAUGUUAUAAAUAUGUAACAAAUUUAAGUUUUCGAAGGUAACGAACAUUCAGAUUUUGCAUAGUGACACUAAUUUCGCAGCGGUAUAAAUGUAAAUAUAUCACGGUCUGUGAUCAUGCUGCUUUAUUUUUACUUUUUUCGUAAUUUGUUUGAUUCCAUUUUUCCAUUCAAAUCAACCAGGCUGCUAUGAACGAGGUUCCUGACGAAUCUAAAAUCAGCGAUCUCCUGUACGAUCAUCUUCAAAACAGAGACAAACUUUGUACUAUUUAUU